AUGACUUGGGAUCCCAUGAAACUACCCUUCCCACCGUUCUCUUCGCGCAAUGACUACGCGCAUCUAUUCUACUUGUCUCUCACAUGGCUAUGGGCUAUAUAUCACUUGUUACGUUAUGCCCAUUUUCCCGUGUUCACUAUGUCUUUGCCCUGCAAUUGUGACCCUUGCUUGCAUCUACCCAUGAUUCACCAUUAUGCUACUCCUAUGUGUAUUUGCAUGCUUGUUGGAGAUCAUUGUUACUAUUGCCUUGUUUAUCAUGUGCCUCAUGCUACUGAUGCUAUUUUGCUCAUAUCAUGCCUUCAUGCUUGUGAUGUGUCUUGUGCAUUAUUCAUGACUACUAUUUGCACACAUGACAUACUUGACAUGAUUCCUUCUAGUAUGUUGCAUCUUUGCACUACUAGCUUGCUUACCUUGAUUCAUAUGAUAGCUUACUAUGUCGCAUCACCCAUGUUCCAUUCUUACAUGCUUUCUUGGGUUGAUGACGUAUAUGUUCAUGCCUCUCGCAUGAUAUAUUUUGUUCAUUGUCGCUUUCCUCCAAUUGUUGCAUCUAUGAUUAUUGAUCUUGGAGACUUGGACACUUUACUUGUGAUGCAUGCUUGCUUGAUUGCGCCUAUUCUAUUUGGUUGUUCUCGCAUCAUAUGCCUCCAUACUAUGAAAUGCUCCCUUGUCCUUUCUUAUGAUGAGCACAAUUCAUACACUUGUUGGGUAUCUUACCACACGAAUGAUAGGUUUUGCAUCUCCGCUAACCUCAUUUGUUUUUCCGAGUGUUUGUCAUGUUCUUUCAUUUUGAAGGAUUCACAAGGUGAUACCUUCAUGAGAUAA
rnacentral:rRNA from 1 species